AGGACGAACGCUGGCGGCGUGCUUCACACAUGCAAGUCGAACGGGGCUCAUUCGGUGGUAACACCGGAGAAGGCCUAGUGGCGAACGGGUGCGUAACACGUGAAGAACCUGCCCCGAAGACUGGGAUAACAGCGGGAAACCGCUGCUAAUACCGGAUGACCCCACCAGGCCGCAUGGCCAGGUGAGGAAAUGGGCCUACCGCUUCGGGAGGGCUUCGCGGCCUAUCAGCUUGUUGGUGGGUAACGGCCUACCAAGGCUACGACGGGUAGCUGGUCUGAGAGGACGACCAGCCACACUGGGACUGAGACACGGCCCAGACUCCUACGGGAGGCAGCAGUAGGGAAUUUUCCACAAUGGGCGAAAGCCUGAUGGAGCAACGCCGCGUGCAGGAUGAAGGCUUUCGGGUCGUAAACUGCUUUUGUUAGUGAAGAUUAUGACGGUAACUAGCGAAUAAGGAUCGGCUAACUCCGUGCCAGCAGCCGC
rnacentral:rRNA from 1 species